rnacentral:misc_RNA from 1 species
GCCUCCACUAUAAUUGUUAUGAACGCCGGGAGUUAAUAUUUUUGUACUGUUAUCAGGAUAAUUUAGGGAUAUAUAUAAGGAUAAUGGAUAGAUUACAGUCGCUUUGCCGCAUUUGCAUUGUGAAUCCCGAGGAUGAUUCGCUCAUUGCCACAGGCGAAGACUUUGACGACCUAAUCAAAUGCUGCACGGGGAUUCAGUUGAGUGAAAGGCCCAAUGGGCCAAGAAAAAUAUGCAUUAGCUGCGAAUUACUGAUCCGAUCGGCUCGCCAGCUGCGCUCAAUCUGCCAGGAGUCCGACGAAAAGCUGAAGAAGUACGAAAGCGAUUUGGAGCUGCUGGAAGCUAAAAGGAAUGUGGCCAAUGAGGAUGACAUCUCCAUUGAUAGCGACAUGGAGAUGGUGCACGAGUAUCUAGACUCCUAUGUGGUGUCCCAGGGAUCACCUGAGAGCACCACCGAAAGUCAUUUCAGUGAAGAAAUUAGCAUUAAACGAGCUUCACCUGCUCCAGUGGAACAAAAACCGCCUUGUGCUGUUGCUUCAGUAAAACAGAAACCUCAGUCAACAUCUACGCUGGCCCUCAGUCCCGACUCAACUCCAGCAACCGAAUUAAAGCCCAGCAAAGCUCCACGAUUUGCCUGCCAUGUUUGCCCAAAUGUCUACCUGGAGAAGUCCAAGCUGACGGUUCACUUGCUGGCCCACAACGAUUUCAAGCGCCACGAGUGCGAGAUCUGCCAGAAAGGCUUCCAUCAGACAACGUCGCUAAAGCGUCACAUGAACACGCACACUGGCCAACGACCUUAUAAAUGUUUCUUUUGUGAUUCCAGAUUUGCCGAUCCCUCCACACGGAUUAAGCACGAGCGGAUUCACACUAAUGAAAAGCCAUACAAGUGCAAAUUUUGUGGCAAAGUAUUCGCGUACUCCAAUGUGCUCAGGGGGCACCUCAAAACGCACACGGGCGAGCGGCCCUAUAAAUGCCAGCACUGCAAGCAGUCGUUCUCCCAAAUGCACCACAAGAAUGCUCACGAAAAGUCGCACAGAAUGAAGGACACGGAAGACACCAUCACAGUGAUUGCAGUGGAGGAGGAGUAAAUAGACAUCGUGUGCGUAGUUCAGGGCAGCUUUAUAGUACAACAAAAAGAUACAAACUUGGUAGAUUAUUUGAUAGAAGAUGAAUUACACAAUUCCUUCCUUUUGCACUUUUCGGAUAGUAAAAUUAUACUAGUUGACUCCUAAGUACUAUCAACUAAGGAAAUACAAGUUACAGGCCUGGUUAAAUCUUUAUGUUACUACAAAAAAACUGCACAUCAGUUGCACACUAAAAUUAAUUUAAUAAAACUAUAUGUAAAGUAAUUUAAAAA